GUUUUUUCAGGGCACAAGUAUUCAGUUAAAAUACAAAAACAUGUCGCACACGUUGCGCGUUCACAGACCGACUCGUCCAGCAGGGGCGCUGCUCAGCCAGCCAUGUUUUUCCCAUCAGGCUGUGCGGUAGCUUCUAUAAAAGCGCCUCGCGCCCGCUUCUCUGCCUCAUUCCUCGGACGACUUACUGAUUAACAACUUAAAACACUCAAAAAUACAGACGGCUCUUCAAAGAUGAAGGAUCACGAUGCUCAUCCUGACUUCUCGACAUCAGCAGAUGCUUGAUGGUGCUGUGAAAGCCCAGAGAUGUGACUGGUCUGUAGGGGACUGAGGAGGUGAGGAUGAGUGUUUGCAGAGGAAACUUGUGCUUCUCUAAGGUGUUCGCUGUGGAGAGACUACACUUGCUCUUAAAUCAAACUAUAAUGAUAAAAUUCCUAAAGCUGAAAUUGAAGGUGCCUUUUUAAUUGCUUGGGUGCGGGGCCAUAUUUACAAAUAUUUCAAACCUAAGUAUUAAUAACCCCAGUGUGCCUUUGCAUGGAUAAACUAAUAUUUGCAUGUAAAACUAAUGGGGAUAUUACUGCUUUCAUUUGACUGGCAAAGUGUGAUUUGUACACAAUGUACAACAAAUGAACAGGAAAUCUAUUUUAAAUGAAAAUGUUAAAUAUUUGGCCACAACACUGACUUGUAACGCUGUUCCUGGAGUCCUGAUCCACACGUUUAGUUUUCUCUCUGCUAACACCUCAGGGAAGCAUCAGUCUUUGCCAUAAAUUUGUGCUCCUGUGAUGACACUUAUUUGCUACUCUUGAGAAGAUGUGAUGAUACUCCAACCACCAAGUUGUAUUAUCUGAGGCACUACUUACUCCCAACCUGUGAGCUUAAAAGUUUAUAUCAUUUUAAUCACUUUAUUUUUACCCACAGGUGUCCUCAGGUCCGAGUCCUAUCGCUAACAGGUAAUGGAUGUAAAUUCUUGAUCAUGUGUUACCAUAAGAAACUGUUAAUGAUGACUUUUGUUUUUAAAACGAUGGGAAUCUCUCUGAAAAAGAGUGAAAGAGGACUUUUUUCUGAUGCAGUUAAAACUAUAUUACAUACAUGCAUGUUAAAAUUUGGACUCUUCAACGAUGCGUCUCUCGUGCUUUGCAGACGGUCCUGAUGUUGGAUCCAGAUGUGCAUUCUUGGAUCGGCUGCAGGUAGGUUUUUUCUUUGAGGAGCCGGCCUGUAAAAAUAAAACUGUUUCGAUGCAAUGAUGAGUGCAUAGUUCAGCAGAUUAAACUGUGAAGAAUUACUGUUGUCUUUCGCUCCUAGCUGAUGUGUCGGCCUCUGCAACCUUUGAGGGUCACUGGGUUUGAGUUCUUUCUAAACUUAUAUAUUUAAUUUUUUUUUUUUUCAGGAGUCCCACAAAAGGCAAAGUGGAGGUGAGUUGAAAUCCUGCUCUACGUUUCUUUUAAUGACGCUCGAUGCAGUGAUGAGUGCAUAGUUCAACAGAUUAAACUAUGAAGAAUAACUAUCGUCUUUCGCUCCUAGCUGAGCAUCAACUUAUGUAGUCCCACAAUCACUGAUGUGUUUAAAACAAAGUGAUAAUCUAGUUCUUUCUCUUCAGAUGUGAACACCUUGCUGUCUGACUCGUUGCUGCUCUGCUGGUAAGCAUUAAAUCUCAAACACUGCAGCGGGGAUGUCACAGUACCACAAACCUGAUGCUCUGCACCAAUAGAACUACACAUGUCAAUACAGUUGAUGGACAAAAUGACCAUUCACACACUGACAUGGUGGCAGAUAAUUUAUCUCAAAUAACACUUUUAACAAGGCACAGACUAAAUUGCAUAGUAUGGUAAUUACACAUUUAUAGACUUGUUAUACAAAAGGAUAAGCAUGACUAGAAUUACCACAGCAAACCAUUUAACCUAUGAAAUAACAGCCGUCUCAAUGGUAACAUCAUCAGGAUGAUGCCUUGAAUUAAAACUUGCUCAGCUUUAAGUCUUUGAAGUUUAAGUGCUUUGUUAACUUGUGGUGCUUGGACUGUAUGAAACUGCAUCAUUCUUUGAUCGCUUACUCCACCUAAAAAGUGUAAAGUACAUCAUUCAUAGCAAAAUACGAACUCUGCCAUAUGAGUUUAAGCGGAGCUAUUAUGGCGGCUGCAUAAAUGGUCCUUUUCCACAGGUAGUGUUUCCUGUGCUGUUGGAUUUCCUCUAAUAUGUAAGAAUGUAUCUAGAAAUAUGGCAGCUUAGUACAUACACUGCCUGCAGUACCAAAGAAAAGCACGUGAUCUCCGAUUAUUUAUUUAUUUUUUUAUUUUUUUUUUUUUGUAACAAAUGUUAGCGUUAGGUAUCAUUUCUGGUGACAUCCCUGCACAGCAGCUAACAGCUUUCAGAUGUGAUGAGUUUGAAUCAGGUCGCUGAUCCAGUUGAGGAUAAUUUGUAACUGACUCUGAUCUGGGUUUUUAAUGUUGGGGGGAAAAAAGUGAGCAUGGUUCUGUAAAUUUACCCGAAACUUAAUUUGUUUUUACAGAACGAGCGGGCUCGCGACUCAUCACCAUUCAGAAGAUGAUUAAACACUCAUGGUGAGUAUGAAAUCGUGUCAUUUUUAGCUCCUCAGACCCAGAAUGGGCCCCGUGCUGUUGAGGUUUAUAGAGCUGGGUCUGAAGGAGCCACUUGCAUAUUUUCUGGGAUCACUUUCUUGCAGUAAAGAUCAUUUGAUCCUUGUAGUCUGGCCUGUGUGAUGACAAAGUACAGACUGACUUUAAACCAUGGAGUCUGUUUAUUAGCUCUAGCUGACCAGGUCAGCGUUGACUCCUUCAUCUUUGCAGUUGAUGUGCAUGUUUGACUGAUGCUCUCAUAUCUUCAGGUUGUUCUGUGUGAGGGAUGGAGACCCAGUGUGGACCACACCAGAGUGACUGAGGUGAGAAAACUGACUUAAAAGUGCACGAUGGUCAUAAGGGGUUCAGUGAUGUUACAACAAAUGUCUGACCUGAACACUCAUGUGGACAGUCUGUCACUGAGCAACCCAGUGAAUAAAAUAUGAAUCAGCCAGUCGCUGACUUGUAAUAAGGUUUUUCAUUCUUCUUUUUCAGAUGGGGGGGAAAAGUUCAAGUUCUUUACCUGGUGAGUGUUUUUGUCCAGUCCUGAAUCACAAUUAUUUAAGGUGGCCACAAGACUAGUGAUGAUCUGAUUUUGCCAGAUGACUUAAGCUGAUUAUAACCCUUACCGUUCCAUUUUUUUCUGAGGUCAUGUGGUCAUUAACUGCUAGUUAACUCUUCUGUUAGUAGUCUGUACUUGUAUUUUAAUGAUUUCUUCUCUACACAGGUGUGAAGCCUCAGACACUGAAGCACAAUCAAGCACAAGUCUGUCACUUCAUAAUAAAUCUAAAUGGUGCUGUUUCCUCAAAAGCUGGAAAGUGAUGUUGACAGAUUUUCACCUGCAGGAAUCGGUGUUCAGACCCUGCUCGUGCUAUUACGUCUGGAUUGUGACCUGAUCCUGUUGACUUCAAUUUGUAACAAUAAAAUAUUUGUUAUUGACUCAUUUGUGUGCAUCUGUUUUUCUCCUCCCUUUCUCGAUGGGUGACGUGUAUGAG
ensembl:lncRNA